UACGAAGGGGGCUAGCGUUGCUCGGAAUCACUGGGCGUAAAGCGCACGUAGGCGGCUCUUUAAGUCAGGGGUGAAAUCCUGGAGCUCAACUCCAGAACUGCCUUUGAUACUGGGGAUCUCGAGUCCGGGAGAGGUGAGUGGAACUGCGAGUGUAGAGGUGAAAUUCGUAGAUAUUCGCAAGAACACCAGUGGCGAAGGCGGCUCACUGGCCCGAUACUGACGCUGAGGCACGAAAGCGUGGGGAGCAAACAGG
rnacentral:rRNA from 1 species